rnacentral:rRNA from 1 species
AUUGAACGCUGGCGGCAGGCCUAACACAUGCAAGUCGAACGAGUGGCGGACGGGUGAGUAAGGUCUGGGAAACUGCCUGAUGGAGGGGGAUAACUACGGGAAACGGUAGCUAAUACCGCAUACCAUCGGAUGUGCCCAGAUGGGAUUAGCUAGUAGGUGGGGUAAAGGCUCACCGUGGCGACGAUCCCUAGCGGGGCUGGGAGGAUGACCAGCCACACUGUAACUGAGACACGGUCCAGACUCCUACGGGAGGCAGCAGUGGGGAAUAUUGCACAAUGGGCGCAAGCCUGAUGCAGCCGUGCCGCGUGUAUGAAGAAGGCCUUCGGGUUGUAAAGUACUUUCAGCGGGGAGGCGUUACCCACAGAAGAAGCACCGGCUAACUCCGUGCCAGCAGCCGCGGUAAUUC